GUGUCAGCCGCCGCGGUAACACGUAGGGGGCGAGCGUUGUUCGGAAUUACUGGGCGUAAAGGGCAUGUAGGCGGUCUGGUAAGCCUGGCGUGAAAGGCCACAGCUCAACUGUGGGAUUGCGUUGGGAACUGCUGGGCUUGAGUUAUGGAGAGGGAGCUAGAAUUCCUGGUGUAGGGGUGAAAUCUGUAGAUAUCAGGAAGAAUACCGAUGGCGAAGGCAAGCUCCUGGCCGAUGACUGACGCUGAGGUGCGAAAGUGUGGGGAUCAAACAGGAUUAGAUACCCUGGUAGUCCACACUGUAAACGAUGUGCACUAGGUGCUGGGGCGGUAGCUUCAGUGCCGGAGCGAACGUGGUAAGUGCACCGCCUGGGGAGUAUGCUCGCAAGGGUGAAACUUAAAGGAAUUGGCGG
rnacentral:rRNA from 1 species